rfam:Loxodonta africana unplaced genomic scaffold scaffold_29, whole genome shotgun sequence.
GUGUUAUUUGAGAGGAGAGAAGAUUUGUACUACACUUGACAUAGUAAAAGAGGCCCCAGUGACCUGUACGGAUAAGGCAUUGCAAACUACUAUGUGUUCUAAGAGUCGCGUGAACUUCUAUUUGUU